rnacentral:rRNA from 1 species
UCCCAGCUGUAAACGAUGCAGGCUAGGUGUUAGGGCGGCUACGGGCCGCUCUAGUGCCGCAGGGAAGCUGUUAAGCCUGCCACCUGGGGAGUACGGCCGCAAGGCUGAAACUUAAAGGAAUUGGCGGGGGAGCACCACAAGGGGUGAAGCUUGCGGUUUAAUUGGAGUCAACGCCGGAAAUCUCACCGGGGGCGACAGCAGGGUGAAGGCCAGAUUGAAGGUCUUGCCAGACGAGCUGAGAGGAGGUGCAUGGCCGUCGCCAGUUCGUGCCGUGAGGUGUCCUGUUAAGUCAGGCAACGAGCGAGACCCGCAUCCCCCGUUGCCACCAGCCUUGAGCUGAGCACACUGGGGAGACCGCCGUCGAGAAGACGG